rnacentral:rRNA from 1 species
UACGUAGGGGCCGAGCGUUGUCCGGAGUUAUUGGGCGUAAAGCGCGCGCAGGCGGCCUCGCGCGCCCGACGUGAAAGCCCCCGGCUUAACCGGGGAGGGUCGUUGGGGACGGCGGGGCUUGAGGGCGGGAGAGGGUGGUGGAAUUCCCGGUGUAGCGGUGGAAUGCGUAGAGAUCCGGAAGAACACCGGUGGCGAAGGCGGCCUGCUGGGCAGUAUGGCUGACACUGAGGCGCGACAGCGUGGGGAGCAAACAGG